UCUCGUGAGCACUCAGCCCUUGCGCGAGGAGAAAACGACGAGCUCAUAGCGCUUCUGGAUCUCCAACGUCGAGGCAGCUCUCAGAACCGCUCCCUGCCAAGCUCCGACGAGUCAUCGAAUUCAUUAAGGAGAACUUCAAAGCUUGGACGAAAAUACGGCAGGAUAUGGAGGACUUCAUGGAGAAUCCGUGACGUGGGUCUCAGCGCGAAAAGUGGCAUCUCAUACGAUGUCGCCGAUCUCUUCGAACACAUCAAAAUCCAGGCGAGUCAUUGUUGCUUCUGCACAGAGCUCCUUCACUGCAGCUGCUGCAGGAUUAUCUUAGAACACGUCAAUAUUACCAAAAUAAAAAUUUUUACAUUGUCA